UUUGUAACCUUUACUCUGUAUAUUCUCAAAUAAAAUAUAUUUUUUAUGAAAAAAGUAAAUUGAUAUUGAAAUUUUGACUGUGCAUAGGGAAGUGGGCGGAGGGUGUUAAACACAACAAUAAAACAAAUACGAUUACAUUUGAAUCAAGAGCAAUUACUGUUAAUCUCAAAUACUUCUACUGUUAACAUAAAUGUAUAAGUAUUUGCUACAACAGUGCCCCGUAUUUCGAUCAAAAGUGUUCCACUGUUAAUUUAAAUACUUGACGCAUUUACUUCAACAGUGCUCGCACUUUUAAAACAAAUACUCAAAGUAUUUGGUCACUUUUCUAAUGCAAAAAGUAUUUGUGGCAAAUGCAGAAUACUUUGGUUUUACUAGUUUUUUUUUUUCAGAGUAAUAUUUUCUUGACAUCCUGAUGACACUGGUGGAAUAUGGGCGAAAUCGGUUCACAACUACGUCUGCUUCCCAUAUAACUCAAUUUUGAAUCCUUCUGAUUCGUUCACUUUAUAAUGUAUACAUAAGGAACCGAUAAAGAUAGCGAAAUAAAACUUUACACAAAUACUGCAUUUGAGCUGUGACAUCACUUGUGGAAAAAUUGUCAAAAUCGAACCAUGACUUUUCAAGGCCCCUGAUAUCAAACGUAAAGAACUCAGUACCUAAGUGUAAUUUUCACCGAAAACAUAGACCGAUUUUCAAUCAUUGAAUGGACAAUGUUUCACAAAAGGCAUAUCGAUACAGAAACAACCUCUGGCGCUACGUUAAAAAUAUAAAUUAUAUGUAUAAAUGUAUCUUAGAAGUCGAAAUUCAUUCAAUACUUACUCAUCUGGAGCAUCAUUGCCUAUAUUAUAUUCAUUUGUUUGUAUGACAAGUGCAAAAGGAUUUUUCCCACUAACUGGUAAACGUUUAGACCCUUCCACACAGCCAUUUGGGCAGGAAACACCAACAAACUUUUUGUGUUUGAACAUAGCACUGGCGAGGAAGCAAAUACUUAAGAAAUGCGAACAACGGGAUCGUCCUAGGAUAUGAAAAUAUUAUCAAUGGCGCACAAUUAUAGUAAAGAACUAGAGUAGUAUUUAGGAUUUCCUUUACAAAAUGGUUGAAAUCUCCCACCAUUAACACAGUAGUUCAGAUGACCUAUAUUCUCUUCCUGACCCAAGAAGCCCGCAUUAGUGUGAAUCACUUGAAUAACACUCGCAUCAUCUAUGGAUAAUCGG